UACGAAGGGGGCUAGCGUUGUUCGGAAUUACUGGGCGUAAAGCGCACGUAGGCGGAUAUUUAAGUCAGGGGUGAAAUCCCGGGGCUCAACCCCGGAACUGCCUUUGAUACUGGAUAUCUCGAGUCCGGAAGAGGUGAGUGGAAUUCCGAGUGUAGAGGUGAAAUUCGUAGAUAUUCGGAGGAACACCAGUGGCGAAGGCGGCUCACUGGUCCGGUACUGACGCUGAGGCACGAAAGCUAGGGGAGCAAACAGG
rnacentral:rRNA from 1 species